CCCUUCGGGUCGGGAAGUUAAAAAUUAUUGGAAGACAAAAAAUAAUUUCUUACAAAAAUUCAAGUGCUGAUAACGUAAUUUUUUUUGGUAUUUCUGGUGAUAUUUUCACGUAUUUCUGAUCAUUUUUUUUGAGGGAUCUGCGAAAAUUACAUGUCAACGGAAAAAAAAUUACUAUUUUCUGGCUUUUUUUGCCCCCGCUGUAGGGUGAACAAGACCUAGAAAGGGGAUUCCGCUCCGUGUGUUUGCAGUCUGUUCUUUCUUCAUUCGUCAACUGUAUACCAAGUUGGGAACUGUCGCAUUGUCGCGAAGAACUCGUGCCUUUUCCAUACCGAAAUGGCAUCCAAGCUCAAUAUCAUACGGAUUUUGGUGGUCUGCAUGAUGAUCAUUCCGUACAUAGCGGUGGUCAACGGGCAAGAUGGCCGUCAGAGACUAUGUGAAACCCCUGCCGAUUGCGGAGAAGAACCUUGUCCUCCAGGCGUCGAGAAAUUAUGCCACGCAACUUUUAAUAUACCUCCAAAAAUAUGCCUGUGUAAGGUGGAGUAAUGACCACCAUAAUGUCCACGGUAGCAACGAGGCAAAUGCAAUAUGCAAAGUAUUUGAACUUUGACUGUUCAAGUUUCCAAAUGAAUUAUGUCAAUCGCUUCCAUGCAUAUUUCUAAAUCUCCUCCUCCGAGCAAUAGUGCCGUUAUAUUAUACAAAAUUAAAUUGGAAGAAUGAGAAAUAAUUAAAUCCUUACAGAAUAUCUCGUCA